CCAUUUCAAUGUUAGCGCCUGGCGAACAGAUAUGUGGGACCAACUUAGUAUUGAACGAGGGGAACUAGGCCUUUCAAGUGGUGUAAAAUUGCUGCAUGUAUCGCAUAGUUUUUGGCAAAGGUUGUAGUUUUGUUAUAUUUAGGUACAAGCUAUUUUUCAAAUUUGCUUUGGCCUUUGCGCUUGGAGGCGUAAGAUAUGUAUGCAGUGUGGACGUUUUUAAGUUCCAUAUUGCCUGCAGUAUAAAGUUUACGUAAGUCGUAAAGAUUGCGUAAUAAAGUUAUUUUGGUAAAUUUGUAUAUUAAAAGUAUAAAUUACAAUAAAAUAAAACACAAUAUCUUUG